GCAGUAUUCUGACUGUGCUAAGGUAGCAUAAUCAUUAGUCUUUUAAUUGAAGACUGGUAUGAAUGGCUUAACGAGAAAUUGACUUUUUUUGUUAUAUAAAUUGAAUUUAAUUUUUUAGUGAAAAAGCUAAAAUUCUUCAGAAAGACGAGAAGACCCUAUAGAGUUUUAUGUUAAAGUUAUAUUUUUUAUUAUUAGAUUUUUAAAAAAUUUUAUAAUUAAACAUUUUGUUGGGGCGACAUUAAGAUAAAAAAAACUCUUAUUUUUUAAAAUUUUUUUAGAAAUAUUACUGAUCCUUUAAAAAAGAUUAUAAGAAAAAAUUACCUUAGGGAUAACAGCGUAAUCUUUUUUGAGAGCUCUAAUCGACAAAAAGGUUUGCGACCUCGAUGUUGGACUAAAAUUUAGGCAAAGUGCAGCUGCUUUGUUUUAAGGUCUGUUCGACCUAUA
rnacentral:rRNA from 1 species